rfam:Picea glauca, whole genome shotgun sequence.
GGGUGUGAUCAUACCAAUGUUAAUGCACCAGAUCCCAUCAGAACUCCGCAGUUAAGCGCGCUUGGGCUAGAGUAGUACUAGGAUGGGUGACCUCCCGGGAAUUCCUAGUGUUGCACUCU